AUGAGUGCUGGUGCCUGCUACCUUAUGCCAACUCCUAUCUUACCAUGCCACUGCAUGGCGCGCACUCCGCGCCACCAUGGUUCUUCCCAUUCUAAUAGGUUUGUUCGCUGCUCCAAUGGCCCGGAAGAGAGGCUAGACGAGCUCCGUCGGCAAAUCAGAUGGCGACCGGCUGAGGAUCGCCUGCGUCGGCGCCGGGGCGUGGGGCAGCGUCUUUGCUGCCCUCUUGCAGGAUGCCUCCGGCCAGUUCCGUGACAAGGUACAAGUCAGAAUCUGGAGGCGGCCUGGGCGGGCCACCGCGGAGCAUCUCUUCGAGGUGAUCAGUUCGAGGGAGGACGUCCUGAGGCGGCUGAUCCGGCGGUGCGCGUAUCUGAAGUAUGUCGAGGCGAGGCUUGGUGACCGCACUCUGUUUGCGGAUGAGAUCUUGAGGGAUGGCUUCUGCUUGAAUCUGAUUGACACUCCGAUUUGCUCGCUCAAGGUGGUGACCAAUCUGCAGGAGGCAGUGUGGGAUGCCGACAUCGUGGUGAACGGUUGGCCCUCGCCGGAAAUGAGGGAGGUGUUCGAGGAAAUUGGUUGGUACCGGAAGGAGAGGAUCAGUGCACCAAUCAUCAUAUCUCUUGCCAAGGGCAUAGAGGCAUCUCUCCAUCAGGUCCCUCGUGUCAUAACUCCUACACGGAUUAUUAGCCACGCAACUGGAGUUACAAUUGAGAAGAUUUUUUUUGUUGGUGGGCCAAACAUUGCUUCAGAGAUUUACAGUAAGGGAUAUGCUAAUGCUCGGAUCUGUGGAGCCAAAAAAUGGAGGAAACCACUCACUAAAUUUUUGAGGAAGCCUCAUUUUAUUGUAUGGGACAACUGCGAUCUCAUCACACACAAGGCUAUGGGUGGGUUAAAGAAUGUCUAUGCUAUUGGUGCCGGGAUGAUAGUCGCUCUAACCAACGAAAGCGCUAUGAGCAAAUCAGUAUAUUUUGCGCAUUGCACAUCCGAGAUGAUACUCAUCACUCACCUGCUGGCUGAGGGGCCAGAGAAGAUAUCCGGCCCGUUGCUUGCGGACACAUAUGUCACCCUAUUGAAAGGUCGCAACGCAUGGUAUGGCACUCUCGAGAUGGGCUUUAGUAUAAAAGGAAAAGGGACAAUUCAAGUUAGCUUUGUGAUCUUACCGCUUGUUUUAGACAUGAAUUUAACCAUGGAAUGAUCCGUCUGUUGACAGAGUGCCUAUCGCUACAUGCCCCUAAUCUUUUGUUAGGGUGUGUUUGCUGUGCUUGCAUUUUAUGACCUCCUAAGCCAACCCAACUUGUGUUUUGGAUCCGGAAAGAAAGAAGAAUGUUUGAUCUUGCUGAGAUGUGCCUCAUUCUGGAAACACUUCACAAGAUAUAUUGAUAAAAAGAUGGAUGAUUAUUCAAUAUUCCCCUGUUUGCAGGGAACUUUUGACAGGUGCUAUCCUUCAAGCACUGAGAGACGAAACAAUGAACGAUCCUUGCGAUCGAAUUGAGCUGGCACUGAGUCAUGCUUUGUACAAGCUAUCACUUUUGGGUCAGCCAUGACCACGAUGUCGACUUCAAUGUGCUGUCAUGCUUGUUGUUCAGCUUGAUGAGUUUUGCAGUCGGAGUAAUAGUGUCUCUUUUUAGUUUU